GAGACACCCCUCCAGGGCAAGACUUGCUUCAGUGGGGCUUUGGUGCUCACUGAGUCAGCCCCCUGAGUGUGUCCCU
rnacentral:pre_miRNA from 1 species